CUGCUCACUUCCACAGCACAUAUACUAAAAUUGGAAGGAUGCAGAGAUUAGCAUGGUCCCUGCUCAAGGAUGACACGCAAAUUUGUGAAACAUUCCAUACUUAA